GGUAGUGUUGUGCAGUGGUUAGAGUGCUGGACUACGAUUUGGGAGACUAUGGUUCAAAUCCCCACUCUGCCA